rnacentral:rRNA from 1 species
GAGAGUUAAACAGUACGUGAAAUUGUUGAAAGGGAAACGAUUAAAGUCAGUCGUACCUACGAGUAAUCAACCUACACGAGCGCGAUUUUGUGGGUAUGAAGAGGUAAAAACCUUCAUGCUUGCUAAUUGGUGUUCUUUGGGCGUAUUUUCUCGUAUGGUUGGUUAACAUCAAUUUCGAUCGUUAUAAAAUGACGGGAGGAAUGUAGCUUCGACUUCGGUUGAAGUGUUAUAGCCUCUGGUAGAUGUAAUGAUUGGGAUUGAGGAUUGCAACGGAUACCCUCUGGGCUAUUCGUCUGAUCUCUGGAAGUUACCUUGGUGUCGAAAGCGUGCUUAUGACAUUAAGAAUGACGGCCAAAAGGUUAGAACGGAAUUAAAUUCGUUAAGGAUGUUGACGUAAUGGCUUUAAACGA